CACACAUGGGUGGGCCAAUUUGGCGACGGCGGAGCCGGGCGGCGGUCUCAAGCUCCGUUUAUGAUCUGUCGCUUCCGCUGCGUAAGCAAUCAACAAACCCUUGAGGGAGUCUCAUCGAGAUUCUUUCGGCGUUGCGUUUGAUCGUUCUAAGAAGCGGGCUCCAACAGUCUCGGUGUGGACUCUUUGAGUUCUGGGUUUCUUGGAUGGGGUUUCGUUACGGUCCCCUUUUGAUUUCCGGAGCAGCCGAGGCUUUGUCGGAGUUGAUCGUCUGGAUGGAUUUCAGUUCUGAGACUUGUGCACCGUAGGGUUUCUUGAACUGACCACAUUAAUGACGAUACUCUUCUCGAAUGGAUUUAUUUGGCGCUUCUGUUGAUGACGGUCCUAGUCUGUUAACAGGAGGAUAAAUGCCAGCAUUCUGAGCCGAAUGAAUUAAGUAAAGGUGCACGCCAAAAGAUUAUAUCAUCGGACUAUACCAUUGAUCCGAGUACACAUGGAGAGGAUGAGCCUUGGUAUCGCGGUUACUUUCCUCGUUGACAAGAUGGAUUACCAAGAUUCGAGUCAUAGAAACAGUGUUUCUGCUUAUAAGGAAUGGGGUCUACGCCAACAGACAUCUCAGUGUUGCCCAACAUACAUGUGUCUGCUUUUGGUAAAGUGUUAAUCCCUUUUGCAUAGAGUAUUAUGAUAUGUUCAGCAUGGGGCCGCAUGACAGUCCGUGAUGCAAGUGUUGAGUUACCUAGCAGUUAUAGGUGGGAUUUGUGGAUAUUGGAUCACAUUCUUUUUCUAGUAACAAGAUAAUUAUUGCAGGCCACCAUGUCAUCUGAUAGAACAGACCUUGGCUUCAUUGCCAUCUCAUACUCGAGAUUUCCUCUGGUUGCUUCUCCAGAGAAGCUCUACAAAAUCUUCGAAAGGUGUCAGAAAAAGCUUCUUUGCUAAUCACAGGUUCUUCGACGUAUUAAAGAGUAACCGCUUGUCGGUGUGAUGAAAGACCUCCUUUUAUAGGUUGUCAUUUAAGCACUGCUAUAAACAUAUACAUAUUUCAUCAUGUGAGCGGUGUGAUUUUAAUCCUUUGUUUCUGUUCUCGUGUCGCUGUAGCAGCUAUUAAUUCCUUCAGACGUUGACCAAUAAUGAGGUCUUGUUGCCCACUAUGUUUCGUGCCAUAAAUCGUGUUCUUAAGUAAUAUGUCGAUGUCAUGUAUACACUAUUUAAGGUCCAACCCAUGGUCUCGGUCAGCAU